AAAACACAAGAUACGCAAGGGGCAGACGAGUGUUUAUCCGUGCCUCUACUCUAUCCCGUAUUUUAUUCUAUGGAGAUGGUCUCCCUAAGUAGCUCAUGCUGGCCUUGAACUCGACGGCUCCUGUGUCUCCCUUGCCGAGCUGACUGAUGUGUGCCUCCAGUACUGUGCGUCACAUGGCCUACGGCAAUUUCCUCUGGAGAGCGCAGGAUGGAGGAGAAAGUGGAUUCUCGUGUUCUAGUUUAUAUAUUCGUGGAGUUUGUUCUGUUUUCACAACAAACUCAAAGGCUGCCUUCCUUCCUCUCUUUCUGAGUAUGUUUUAAAUUUAAAAAGUGCAUGCUGAGCCAGGCGGUGGUGGCGCACGCCUGUAAUCCUAGCACUCUGGGAGGCAGAGGCAGGGGGAUUUCUGAGUUCGAGGCCAGCCUGGUCUACAGAGUGAGUUCCAGGACAGCCAGGGCUACACAGAGAAACCCUGUUUCAAAAAAAACCAAAUCCAAAAAAAAAAAAAAAAAAAAAAAGUGCGUGCUGCUGUAACCAAGUCAUAUAAUCCCCAACAACAGACAGCAGCAGAUCUGGAUCGGGAGCAGCCUGGGCCACGCGCCCUGUCCCCAAGCAGUGCAGAGGGCCAGCGGCACAUCCGGAGGCCGGCCGCAGGGAGGCAGCUUGCUCUGGGUAUACUGAAGACUAUCAGAGGCACCCAGACUUAUGACCUGGACAGCUACUGGAUUCUCAGACCUUCCAUUCAUAGGCAGCCACUGUUAGAUUAUCUGGACCACAACCUGUUGCGGGCUAUUGGCGUCGCUGAGCAAAGCCAAGGCAGGAACCCAGAAGUAGGAACUGAAGCCAAGACCACAGAGGAACACAGCUUAAUGGCUUACUUCCCUUUGAUUUCCACAGCUGCUUUUCUUAUAUGGCCUAGGCCCACCUACCCGGGGAUGGCACUGCUCUCUGUGUGCCGGGCUGUCCUACAUCAGCGUUUAGGUAAAGCCUCCACAGAUAUACUCACAGGCCAAUCUGACUGAGGUGGCUCCUCAGUUGAGAUUCCUUCCUUCCAGGUAUGUCAAAGAAGCUAACACAAACUAUAACAGCAUACAUGGGACUAUCUCAACAGCUAGCGAGAGAGUUAUCAGGAUCAAGGCAUGUGGGGCUGUGAAGAUGUCAGAUUGUCUACCACACAUUCAUGUUAUAUUUUCAUCAGCAACAAGGGAAUGUACUUCCCCCCUUGGUGACAAGUGAAUGUGCUUUCCCCCCUUGGUGAUAUUGGAUAGUACAGAGUUUUUUGUUUUGUUUUUGAUGGUGCUGAGGGUCUCACAUGCAUGUUAAGCACAUGCUGGACCAAUGGGAUCUACCUUGGCUCUUGUCAAGAUUUUUCUUUUUGAGGUGAGUCUAGAUAUUUCCCCUAGCUUUUCUUUGAACUCAAGGUCCCCAUGACUCAAGAUCUUCAGUGUUGACAGUGUUACAGGUGUAUGUUAGCAUCCUCAGCUUCCUGAUCGCACUUUUGUUCUUUGUCAAUCUAAAGGGAUAAAAUGGGAUCUCACUAGAGUUUUAA